AGCUAAAAAACAAAAUCAGGGUGGCGAUGAUCAGUUCUUGAGCUUCGAACGGGCAGAAAGCUAAAAAACAAAAUCAGGGUGGCGAUGAUCAGUUCUUGAGCUUCGAACGGGCAGAAAGCUAAACAACAAGAUAUGGGUGGCGAUGGUCAGUUCUUGAGCUUCGAACGGGCAGAAAGGUGAGAA